rnacentral:rRNA from 1 species
AGAGUUUGAUCCUGGCUCAGGAUGAACGCUAGCGGCAGGCCUAAUACAUGCAAGUCGAACGAUACCAGAGAGCUUGCUUUCUGGGAAAGUGGCGCACGGGUGCGUAACGCGUAUGCAACCUACCUUAAUCAGGGGGAUAGCCUCUCGAAAGAGAGAUUAACACCGCAUAAAAUCACAAGCUGGCAUCAGCAAAUGAUCAAAUAUUUAUAGGAUUAAGAUGGGCAUGCGUGACAUUAGUUUGUUGGUGAGGUAACGGCUCACCAAGACUACGAUGUCUAGGGGAUCUGAGAGGAUGACCCCCCACACUGGUACUGAGACACGGACCAGACUCCUACGGGAGGCAGCAGUAAGGAAUAUUGGUCAAUGGAGGCAACUCUGAACCAGCCAUGCCGCGUGCAGGAAGACGGCCCUACGGGUUGUAAACUGCUUUUAUACGGGAAUAAACCCCUUUACGUGUAGAGGGUUGAAUGUACUGUAAGAAUAAGGAUCGGCUAACUCCGUGCCAGCAGCCGCGGUAAUACGGAGGAUCCAAGCGUUAUCCGGAUUUAUUGGGUUUAAAGGGUGCGUAGGCGGCCUAUUAAGUCAGGGGUGAAAGACGGUGGCUCAACCAUCGCAGUGCCUUUGAUACUGAUGGGCUUGAUUACACUUGAGGUAGGCGGAAUGUGACAAGUAGCGGUGAAAUGCAUAGAUAUGUCACAGAACACCAAUUGCGAAGGCAGCUUACUAAGGUGUCAAUGACGCUGAGGCACGAAAGCGUGGGGAUCAAACAGGAUUAGAUACCCUGGUAGUCC